AAGAGAGGCCGGAACAAACUCUCCCCUCGGGGCUCCCAGAAGAAAACAACUCUCCUCACACCUUGAUCUCAGACUUGCAGCCUCCGGAACUGUGAGAAAAUCUGUUUCUGUUAUUGAAGCCACCCAGCCCAUGAACUUGGGCCAGGAGGAAUGCCAGUUAUCAGUGCCCUCGCUCCCUAACAUUCUGCAGCAUCUUGCAAAUGGCAGACACUGGACCAGAGAUGGGCACUGUGCCAGGAAGAUGACUUUUCCCAGGAACUUGGAUUGAGACCAAGAGGUUCAUGAUGGCCUCUUCUGGCUGCAUGACUUAAUUUUUAUAUUCUCAGACAAUGGAAGGAGGGCAGUGGAUGCCCACUGUAUGUACAGAGAAGGGAAGGCAAUUCACAGAGAAAGCGAAGGAGCACGUAGUCAGGCAGAGAGCAGCAGUGACAGGAGCCCUGAGAGCUUGCAGGGCGUUUCCUGGAGCCUCUUCUAUUUCUGCCCAUCAUUUCCACCAGCCACCCCUCUGCUUCUGUCAUCAAUCCCCCCAUCUUUGCUUCAGUUGGUGUGAGUUUGUUUCUGUUGUUUAUAAAAACAAAACAAAAUACACACACAAAGAUAAACCA